AUGGCGACCUCGACGCUGCUGCGUGCUCUGAGGCGGCCCUCCUCGGUGGCCGCGCUGCGAUUGGCAACGACUGCCAAUGUGCAAGCCGUUACUGGAUACAGGCAUCUGAAUAAUCGGAAUCUAAGUGUUUUCAACGAGUUCUCAAAGCAGCUGAAGGGUGAGGCUAAGAGUAAUCCUGAAUUCCAGAAAUCCAUGAAGGAGUUCAGUGAGAAACUUGGUGUGGUAAAGGAAGAUCUCAAAGUAAGAACUCAGAAAACAGCCGAGACAAUUUCCAAGAGUGUUGAAGAUGUUAUGACUGAAGCUGAGGCAACAUCCAAAAAGGUUACUGCAAAUGUUAAAGAAAAAAUGUCUGCUGCUACAGAAGAGGUGAAGGAAAGCUUUGGACUAGGAAAGGAAGAAACUUCAAGCUUCAGAGAUGGUUCACAUGGAACUUCAAAUCACGGGAAAACUGAGGCGUCCUCACAUUCAGAUGACAAGUCCCAAGAUGCCACAAGUGCCUAUAUGUUGUUUGAUAAAUUAAGGUCAACAUUUUCAUCAGCUUCACCAGUUGUGUCUGGUGCAUUUGCAAAAUUGAAGGACACAAGAGUCUCAGCUUUAGCUAAGCAGGGAUAUGAAAUUGUCAAAGAUGAACUAAGCUCUAGCUCUAGCAGAAAAAAGAAAAACCAUAUUAGGCAAGCUUAUUCUGCAGCUGUAGAGAAGAGUACAAGAACUGAUAUAGUUAUUGUACCAACAAAGAAGUCAGUGGUGGGUGAAAAAUGGGAAGCAAUCAAGAAUAAGAUGCGAGGUCAUCCAGUCUAUAAGAGGGUGAACGAGUACACCAAACCUGUCGUAACAAAGGUGAACGAGUACACCAAACCUGUCGUAACAAAGGGACAAGAGGUAGCUGAGGAUGUCCGAGAAAGAUGGGAGACAAGUGACCAUCCAGUAGUUCAGAAAAUUCAAGAUAUUAAUGAAACUAUUUUUGAAGAGACCGCUACUGCAGCAUCUUUCAGGGAAAUUCGGCGACGUGACCCAUCCUUUUCAUUAUCCGAUUUUAUUGGUGAUGUUCAAGAAAUGAUCAAGCCUGUUCUUACCGCAUAUUCAAAGGGUGAUCUGAAGACUUUAAAAAAGUACUGCACCAAGGAAAUACUUGAACGAUGCGAAGGAGAGAGGAAAGGAUAUGCAUCACAAGGCAUGUUUUUUGAUCACAAGAUUCUUCACAUAUCUGAUGCCGACGUAAGGGAAACAAAGAUGUUGGGAUCAGCACCCAUCAUUCUCGUGAUGUUCCGAACACAGGAGAUUCAUUGUAUUCGUGAUAAAGAAGGACAAGUAACAGAAGGAGGACAGGAUUCCAUUCGCACCGUCUACUAUCAAUGGGCAAUGCAACUCAUGGACAGCGAUGAGUUGCCAGAAGAAGAAUCAUACUAUGCAGUUUGGCGGUUGCGUGAGAUGCAUCAGCUUGGUGUCAAGGCUCUUAUAUAG
rnacentral:rRNA from 1 species